rnacentral:rRNA from 1 species
GACGUAGGGCGCGAGCGUUGUCCGGAUUUAUUGGGCGUAAAGAGCUCGUAGGCGGCUUGUCGCGUCGACUGUGAAAACUCGGGGCUCAACUCCGAGCUUGCAGUCGAUACGGGCAGGCUAGAGUUCGGUAGGGGAGACUGGAAUUCCUGGUGUAGCGGUGAAAUGCGCAGAUAUCAGGAGGAACACCGGUGGCGAAGGCGGGUCUCUGGGCCGAUACUGACGCUGAGGAGCGAAAGCGUGGGGGGGCAAACAGG